GGCUCCGUGGCUUAAUGGUUACGGCUUCUUCCUUACAAGCAGAAGGUUCAGGGAUCAAAUCCCGGUCGGUACCU
rfam:Culex pipiens quinquefasciatus supercont3.804 genomic scaffold, whole genome shotgun sequence.